rnacentral:rRNA from 1 species
UACGUAGGGGGCGAGCGUUGUCCGGAUUUAUUGGGCGUAAAGAGCUCGUAGGCGGCUUAGUAAGUCGGGUGUGAAACCUCCAGGCUCAACCCGUGAGCGCCACCCGAUACUGCUGUGGCUAGAGUCCGGUAGGGGAGCGUGGAAUUCCUGGUGUAGCGGUGAAAUGCGCAGAUAUCAGGAGGAACACCAGCGGCGAAGGCGGCGCUCUGGGCCGGUACUGACGCUGAGGAGCGAAAGCGUGGGGAGCAAACAGG